rnacentral:misc_RNA from 1 species
GAUGAAGAACGUAGCGAAAUGCGAUACUUGGUGUGAAUUGCAGAAUCCCGUGAACCAUCGAGUCUUUGAACGCAAGUUGCGCCCGAAGCCACUAGGCCGAGGGCACGCCUGCCUGGGCGUCACACGCCGUUGCCCCCCCAUCUACUCCUUCGGGAUUGCGGGGGGGCGGAUGAUGUCCUCCCGUGCGCCUAGCCGCGCGGUUGGCAUAAAUACCAAGUCCUCGGCGACGCACGCCACGACAAUCGGUGGUUGCGAAACCUCGGUUGCCCGUCGUGUGCGUUCGUCGCGCAUCGAGGGCUCGAAAAAAUGCUCGGCUCCGGCUGGGCUUUCAACGCGACCCCAGGUCAGGCGGGGUUACCCGCUGAAUUUAAGCAUAUCAAUAAGCGGAGGA